CCUACGGGAGGCAGCAGUGAGGAAUAUUGGUCAAUGGGCGCGAGCCUGAACCAGCCAAGCCGCGUGAGGGAGGAAGGUACAGAGUAUCGUAAACCUCUUUUGUCAGGGAACAAAGACUGGGACGCGUCCCCGGAUGAGUGUACCUGAAGAAAAAGCAUCGGCUAACUCCGUGCCAGCAGCCGCGGUAAUACGGAGGAUGCGAGCGUUAUCCGGAUUGAUUGGGUUAAAAGGGUGCGCAGGCGGUCUGUUAAGUCAGCGGUCAAAGCCCGGGGCUCAACCCCGGCCCGCCGUUGAAACUGGCAGUCUCGAGUUGGAGAGAAGUAUGCGGAAUGCGCGGUGUAGCGGUGAAAUGCAUAGAUAUCGCGCAGAACUCCGAUUGCGAAGGCAGCAUGCCGGCUCCACACUGACGCUGAGGCACGAAAGCGUGGGUAUCGAACAGGAUUAGAUACCCCAGUAGUC
rnacentral:rRNA from 1 species